GUAGGGCACUAUAUGGGGUAUAGGGCCUUGGUUAAAGGUAGGGCACUAUAUGGGGAAUAGGGCCUUGGUUAAAGGUAGGGCACUAUAUGGGGUAUAGGGCCUUGGUUAAAGGUAGGGCACUAUAUGGGGAAUAGGGCCUUGGUUAAAGGUAGGGCACUAUAUGGGGAAUAGGGCCUUGGUUAAAGGUAGUGGACUAUAUGGGGAAUAGGGCCUUGGUUAAAGGUAGUGGACUAUAUGGGGAAUAGGGCCUUGGUUAAAGGUAGGGCACUAUAUGGGGAAUAGGGCCUUGGUUAAAGGUAGGGCACUAUAUGGGGAAUAGGGCCUUGGUUAAAGGUAGGGCACUAUAUGGGGAAUAGGGCCUUGGUUAAAGGUAGGGCACUAUAUGGGGAAUAGGGCCUUGGUUAAAGGUAGGGCACUAUAUGGGGAAUAGAGCCUUGGUUAAAGGUAGGGCACUAUAUGGGGAAUAGGGCCUUGGUUAAAGGUAGGGCACUAUAUGGGGAAUAGGGCCUUGGUUAAUGGUAGGGCACUAUAUGGGGAAUAGGGCCUUGGUUAAAGGUAGGGCACUAUAUGGGGAAUAGGGCCUUGGUUAAUGGUAGGGCACUAUAUGGGGAAUAGGGCCUUGGUUAAAGGUGGUAAAUAAAUAAAUGUUAUACUUGGACAAUAAGGCAUUUUAUUUACGUGUGCAGAGAACAUCGGUACAGAAAUCCACAGUACAUACAGGAAACAUUAUAUUUCAUGGAGUUCACCAUGUCAGUCAUGUCAACAAUUAAUUUCCAUAAAGUCCACAAUUUUGUAAUUCA
rnacentral:lncRNA from 1 species